ensembl:lncRNA
CCUCACACACACACACACACACACACACAGACAGACGGACGGACGGUGAAGGAAUGCCAGAUAGCCGAGAGACACAGCCCUAUGUGCUGAAGGACAUGAUGGGACCUCGUCAUCUUUCUCUGAUCCAGGAGGAGUCAGGCAGUAGAGAAAGUACGGGUGUGUUUCCUCCCAUCUCUGGCGCCCCCCAGAGGUCCCCAGCAGCCGAGCGGCCGAGAGGGCGAGAGGGGAGAAGGAGGGAGAUCAGAGAGCAGGAGGAUGAGGAAGGGGAGGGAGUAGGGAGGGAGGAGGAGGAGGAGGAGGAAGAGGUAUCAGUGAAGGAGGAAGAGGAGAGCGAGAGGGGAGGUGAUCCGGCAACGCUGGCUCUCUAUGAGGAGCACAGGAGGCUGGAGGACAGCAGGUGUCUACUGGAGGAGCUGACCCUCAUCGAGGCUGACCUCCGUCAGUCAGACCUUCUGGAUGUGGGGCGACAGAGAGAGCGAGCGUUCCUCCGCGAGACGGACAACCGCAUGCGGUGGCAGAGCCUGCUCCACCUCAGCCUCAGCCAGCGGGUCACUAGACCCUGGGUAACCAGCUACUUCCGGAAGUAUCCCAUGCAUAUCUACUGUCUCCCCAUCCAAGACGUCCCCCGCAGGAGAAUCAAGAACCCGACCAGCAGGAGAUGAGGACGAAUACUGACCGAUGAUGUUUCGAUGAGGAACAUAAUGGUCAAACCGUAACAAUGCCUGUGUCUCCAUCUAGUGGCAAUUUAGUGCAAGUAAAUUAGAAACUGGUUUACAAUAAGUUCUUGCUAAUGCUAUGGUUUUAUUUGUUAUUUUUGUGGUUGGUAUAUGUUGGUUUGGGUUUUAAUCCUGUGAGUGGGAGAUGUUGACUUGUCCUGGUUUUUCCUUUUUUUACAUUAUGUAUAAAAUCUAGUCCUACUAAUAUACAUUUGUUAUGUACUUGUGCAACGAAAUAAAUACAAACACAAU